CCUACGGGUGGCAGCAGUGAGGAAUAUUGGUCAAUGGGCGAGAGCCUGAACCAGCCAAGUCGCGUGAGGGAUUACUUCCCUAUGGGUUGUAAACCUCUUUUGUCGGUGAGCAAAAGCCGGACGUUUCCGGCCGUGAGAGUAACCUAAGAAAAAGCAUCGGCUAACUCCGUUCCAGCAGCCGCGUUAAUACUGAGGAUUCGAGCGUUAUCCAGAUUUAUCGGUGUUAAAGGGUGCGCAGUCGGAUUUUUAAGGUAGCGGUCAAAUCGUGGGGCUCAACCCCAUCCAGCAGUUGAAAUUGGGGAUCUAGAGUGUGCGAGAGGUAUGCGGAAGGCGUGGUGUAGCGGUGAAAUGCAUAGAUAGCACGAAGAACCCCGAUUGCGAAGGCAGCAUACCGGUGCACAACUGACGCUCAGGCACGAAAGCGUGGGUAUCGAACAGGAUUAGAUACCCUUGUAGUC
rnacentral:rRNA from 1 species